AUUGAACGCUGGCGGCAGGCCUAACACAUGCAAGUCGAGCGGUAGAGAGGUGCUUGCAUCUCUUGAGAGCGGCGGACGGGUGAGUAAUGCCUAGGAAUCUGCCUAGUGGUGGGGGAUAACGUUCGGAAACGGACGCUAAUACCGCAUACGUCCUACGGGAGAAAGCGGGGGGAUCUUCGGACCUCGCGCCAUUAGAUGAGCCUAGGUCGGAUUAGCUAGUUGGUGAGGUAAUGGCUCACCAAGGCGACGAUCCGUAACUGGUCUGAGAGGAUGAUCAGUCACACUGGAACUGAGACACGGUCCAGACUCCUACGGGAGGCAGCAGUGGGGAAUAUUGGACAAUGGGCGAAAGACCUGAUCCAGCCAUGCCGCGUGUGUGAAGAAGGUACUUCGGAUUGUAAAGACUC
rnacentral:rRNA from 1 species